AUUGAACGCUGGCGGCAUGCUUUACACAUGCAAGUCGAACGGUAACAGGCCGCAAGGUGCUGACGAGUGGCGAACGGGUGAGUAAUGCAUCGGAACGUGCCCAGGCGUGGGGGAUAACGCAGCGAAAGCUGUGCUAAUACCGCAUACGAUCUAUGGAUGAAAGCGGGGGACCGUAAGGCCUCGCGCGAUUGGAGCGGCCGAUGUCAGAUUAGGUAGUUGGUGGGGUAAAGGCCUACCAAGCCGACGAGCUGUAGCUGGUCUGAGAGGACGACCAGCCACACUGGGACUGAGACACGACCCAGACUCCUACGGGAGGCAGCAGUGGGGAAUUUUGGACAAUGGGCGCAAGCCUGAUCCAGCAAUGCCGCGUGCAGGAAGAAGGCCUUCGGGUUGUAAACUGCUUUUGUACGGAACGAAACGGUCUGGGUUAAUACCCUGGGCUAAUGACGGUACCGUAAGAAUAAGCACCGGCUAACUACAUGCCAGCCGCCGCGGUAAAAC
rnacentral:rRNA from 1 species